UGAUGUAAUUGUUAAUUUUUAAGGCAGGAG
rnacentral:piRNA from 1 species